CUGUCCCAAGUCAGGAGCCUCUGGCCUUUGUUAGUCUUGUAUUAUUUUAAUUUUAGUUUCUUGUGUACAAUUUGGAAAUUAGUAUGGCGUUCAUAAUCACUGGACUAGUAUAUAUUUGUUUAGGGGCCAGCUGAAGGACGCCUCCGGGUGCGGGAAUUUCUCGCUACAUUGAAGACCUGUUGGUGACCCUCUGCUGUUGUUUUUUAUUUGGGCGGGUUGUUGUCUCUUUGACACAUUCCCCAUUUCCAUUCUCAAUUUUAUUCAUAUUCACAGGUUCAGUCGAAAUGCAGAAGUUUAUCCCGACGACUCGUGUAAGGAGAAUGUAAGAG
rnacentral:lncRNA from 1 species